rnacentral:rRNA from 1 species
CCUACGGGAGGCUGCAGUAAGGAAUAUUGGUCAAUGGACGCAAGUCUGAACCAGCCAUGCCGCGUGGAGGAUGAAGGUCCUCUGGAUUGUAAACUUCUUUUCUUUGGGAAGAAACUCCCGAUUUCCAUCGGGAUUGACGGUACCAGAUGAAUAAGCACCGGCUAACUCCGUGCCAGCAGCCGCGGUACUACGGAGGGUGCAAGCGUUAUCCGGUUUCACUGGGUUGAAGGGGGGCGGGGAUGGGCAUGGAGAAAUCUCCGGGCUUAAACCGGAAACUGCCAUUGAUACUAUUGGUCUUGAAUACUCUGGAGGUGAGCGGAAUAUGUCAUGUAGCGGUGAAAUGCUUAGAUAUGACAUAGAACACCCAUUGCGAAGGCAGCUCACUACGGAAAUAUUGACGCUGAGGCACGAAAGCGUGGGGAUCAAACAGGAUUAGAUACCCCAGUAGUC